AUUGAACGCUGGCGGCAGGCCUAACACAUGCAAGUCGAGCGGAUGAAGGGAGCUUGCUCCUGGAUUCAGCGGCGGACGGGUGAGUAAUGCCUAGGAAUCUGCCCGGUAGUGGGGGAUAACGUCCGGAAACGGGCGCUAAUACUGCAUACGUCCUGAGGGAGCAAGUGGGGGAUCUUCGGACAUCACGCUAUCAGGUGAGCCUAGGUCGGAUUAGCUAGUUGGUGGGGUAAAGGCCUACCAAGGCGACGAUCCGUAACUGGUCUGAGAGGAUGGUCAGUCACACUGGAACUGAGACACGGUCCAGACUACUAAGGGAGGCAGCAGAGGGGAAUAUUAGACAGUGGGCGAAAGCCUGAUCCAGCCAUGCCGCGUGUGUGAAGAAGGUCUUCGGAUUGUAAAGCACUUUAAGUUGGGAGGAAGGGCAGUAAGUUAAUACCUUGCUGUUUUGACGUUACCAACAGAAUAAGCACCGGCUAACUUCGUG
rnacentral:rRNA from 1 species